GACGAACGCUGGCGGCGUGCCUAACACAUGCAAGUCGAACGGAACUUAUCGAAUGAAGUUUUCGGAUGGAUUUUGGUAAGUUUAGUGGCGGACGGGUGAGUAACGCGUGAGUAACCUGCCUUCAAGAGGGGGAUAACAGUCAGAAAUGACUGCUAAUACCGCAUAAGCGCACGGAACCGCAUGGUUCAGUGUGAAAAACUCCGGUGGUGUGAGAUGGACCCGCGUUGGAUUAGCCAGUUGGCAGGGUAACGGCCUACCAAAGCGACGAUCCAUAGCCGGCCUGAGAGGGUGAACGGCCACAUUGGGACUGAGACACGGCCCAG
rnacentral:rRNA from 1 species